rnacentral:lncRNA from 1 species
AUAGAAAUGAAUCUAAUCGAAUUAAAAAUUUAAAUAUCUCAUCUAAUUUCUAACCCAAUUAGGAAUUAACCGAAUCCAAACCCUGAUCGAAUCAAUAUCAAAUUCUCUUAUAAUCGGAUUUGAUCAUAUCAAUCCCAAUCUGAGUCGAACUGAAUCUAAUUCAAUUAGACUUGUUCCAAAGCUCUUUACUCAAUCAAAUUGAGUCAAUUAGUAAUCUAAUUACUAAUUAAUUC